UUAUUAAAGGUAAUAGGUCUCUCUCGAUAUUUUUUUUAUGAAACUUUAAAAGAGAAAGACCUAUGUUUAAGAUAACUGGUCUCACCUUAUUUUUCCCAAAAAAAAAAAAAAAAUAUUUGGAGAGACCUGUUACAUCACUAAAAUGGUCUCUCAUACACUAGCUCUAAUUAAACCCUAGAACUUCUCCUAUCUUCAACCCGCCUCCAUCUUCUUCCUCUUCUCUUAGCUCUCUCUCUCUUCUUUCUCUAUUUAGUCCCUAUCUUUUUCUUCAAAUCUUCCUAUCAUGGGAAACUACAGUGUCAACGAACAGUUUCUCAAUCCAUGGGAAACUUCGUCGAUCCGAUGGUGCAAAUGGGUGCAGCUAGGAAGCAGUGAAAUAAAUUAUUGCCAUUUUAUGAUAUCUCAGUAAAAUUCUUGCAAUCUGGUGGAAAUUAAAGCCCAAUUGCAUGAAUUAUACGAAAAGGAAGGGAAACGUUUGAUAAUAUGCAAAAUAUAAAAUUAAAGGUGGUGGUUAUUCAGUUACUUUUCUUCUGCCUUCAUCUACUGUCAACUCAUUGGUAUACUAGAUGAAAUGUGAGGUUUCUGGGAUUUUGUAAGAACAUUGAAGGUAUUGGACAAUUGGGAGUUCGAGAUUUUGCAGUUGAAGAAUUCGUUUCCAUCUCUUCCACUUUGUAUAUAACUAUAUAAUUUCAAUAUAAUUUUGUAAUGGAUUUCAAGUUUGAUAAAUUAGUUUGUAUCUAAAUAUGAAACAUUUAAUUAUGCAAUUUUGAUUCUUUUAAUGUGAA